AUGGGCAUGAAUACAUAAAAGGGUACUAUCUUGCAGAUGGUAUAUACCCUCCUUGGUGCACAUUUGUCAAGAGCAUCAAAGAACCCAAAACCAAAAAACAAUGUGAAUUUGCAAGGGUGCAAGAAGCAGCCCGAAAAUACAUUGAAAGAGCGUUCGGUGUUUUGCAAUCUAGGUUUGCAUUGUCCGUGGUCCUGCUCGUUUUUUGGGAUAAGAAAACCUUGAAAAAUAUCAUGACAUGCUGUGUUAUUCUUUACAAUAUGAUUCUUGAAGAUGAGAGAGGAAUGAACUUGGAAUUCUUCUACGGCAAUGUGGGUAACCGUGUCAAACUAGCUAGAGACCCUAACCGCAUUAGAGCUUUUCUUCAGACAUACAAGGAGAUUGAAAAUGCAGACACACAUUUUCAACUUUAGGAGGAUCUCAUUGAGCACCAUUGGCAAAGGGUUGGAUGGUGACUCCUUUUUGUAUUCAUUUGUAUUUGUACUCAUCACAAGUUUUGUAUUGCAUUAUUUAAUAUUUGAAUAAUUAUUUGUAAUGUGGAUGAUUGUUGUAUUGGGUUGAAUUUGAAUAAUUAUUUAGUUUGCUUCCAUUUGUUGUAUUAUGUUGGAUUUGAUAUUUUGCGGGCCGAUGAGAUGCGGAAAGCAGCGGUGCAAGAGCAGACACCGCAAAGCCGACCUGUAUAAAAGCAUAUUCGGCGAAUAUACUUUUAUACGGGUCCGUUUGGGGGAUCUACAUCUGCGACCGUCCUUGCCGGCCCGCAAAAGCCGUUUUCCGCAAACUGCAAACGCGUUUUGCAGGCCGGCGGGAUGCGGGGUCUACGAGAGUUGCUCUUAGAAAGCCGUGCCCCCACAUACUCCGCAGAUAUCUCAUGGCUGGCUCGUCUGCCAUUGUUGCGGUACCUCAACAUGCAGCAAGUAGACCUCCGGAUGGUGGUCGAUUUGGCCUCAUGUUGUCAACAUGAUUCCUUCUCUGGGAGGGCUUGACCUCGCAGAAUGCUCACUCCAGAGCGCAAACCAGUCGCUCUCACACCUCAACCUCGCAAACCUCGAGGAGCUUGACCUCUCCUUCAAUGACUUUGGCCAACCAAUUGCAUCUUGUUGGUUCUGCGACUGCGAGCGGCGGGGUUUGCGCCGAACCGAGCCGUCUAGUCAAGUGGACCACAUCCCCUUGUUUGGUUGAUUCCCGCUGCUCCCGUCGUAGAUUGAUCUAUACUGACAUGUUCUUGUUUGUUCCCUCUCCUUUCUUCUUGUUGGCAGGGCUGCUGCAUCUGGUUUGCUCUCUACUUGUGCGUCUGCCUGAUCCUUCUUUGUGAGAUGUGAUGGGGUAAUACCAAUUUGCGCCCGCUGAAGAACAACGAUGCUGCGGGAGGGGAGAGAGACGGGGAAGCCCCUGUGAUGGCCGAAGCAAAGGUUCCCCAACGAGUUGGUUGCUCAUUACCAUCCGUUGAGUACUUGAUCUAAUCAGAGAGGCGAUGGUGUGCACUGGAGGAAACUAAAGGUUGAGUACUUGAUCUAAUCAGAGAGGCGAUGGUGUGCACUGGAGGCAACUAAAGGAAUGGGUGAACCAAGGGAAAUAACGUCGGUGUUCUAAGAUAUUCUGAGAUUAGCCUUGAUAGCUGGAUGUCCUUGUGCAUGACAUUUUAGAAUUCCCGGAGUGCGAAGCGUGUUACUACGAGUCUCUAGGUUUCGCGGAU